rnacentral:rRNA from 1 species
UACGAAGGGAGCUAGCGUUGUUCGGAAUCACUGGGCGUAAAGCGCACGUAGGCGGACGUGUCAGUCAGGGGUGAAAUCCCGGAGCUCAACUUCGGAACUGCCUUUGAUACAGCACGUCUUGAGUCCGGAAGAGGUGGGUGGGAUUCCUAGUGUAGAGGUGAAAUUCGUAGAUAUUCGGAAGAACACCAGUGGCGAAGGCGGCUCACUGGUCCGGUACUGACGCUGAGGUGCGAAAGCGUGGGGAGCAAACAGG